rnacentral:tRNA from 1 species
GGGGAUGUAGCCUAGUGGCGUUUGUCUACAAUGCAAGAGGCCCUGGGUUCAAUCCCCAGUAGUGCCA